GCCUGAGUAAGGAAAAUUGAAAAACAAAAGAAAGGCUCUAAGUGAUUUGUUCUGAACUUUAGAAAUACCACCGUACUUCUGAAUAUUCAAUAACACUUGUUUAUACAUCCUUCGAGCUGGCAGUUUGCAUUUGUCCUUCUGUUUGUUUGGAAACAGAAAAUAGCAAGGAGUAAAGAUGAAAUUCUGAUUGGACUGGGAGGUGACAUGCUCCAAGGAGCCCCUUCAUGGGUCCACCACUCCUGUUCCCUAUAGAAUGAAUGGAGUCUCUGCAGCCAAGGUGACAGAAACAUCCACCCAGGGCUCAGUGCAGCUGGACGGGAGAAUUCAAGCUUCCAGACCUGCUGUCCAGUUCAUGAGGCAGAAAUGGAAACAGAGACAAAGCAAAGGCUGCAUAGGACCUUCAACAACAAGAGUCAGAAAGCAUGAUGUCAGAUCUACACGUCCAGGAAGAAAGGAUAUUACUUGUUAAAUCAAUCGGCCCCCAGAAGGAGAAAGCAAUUGGCUAAAGAAAAAGAAAGCAACUGGUGAUCUAUGAAUACCCCUUUGGAAAGAAGUAAGAUUCCAAUAAUAAAGCAAAUAACGUGAAAUGUGAUGAAGUAUUGUACAAUGGGAAUCUGAACCUAAGGUAAUUAAUAUCUAGACUGGAGGAAUAGUUAAGCUGAAUUUCCUGAAGCAGUUAGUUACCUCAUUUUUGUGCUGAAAUAAUUAUACUUUCCCAAUUCAAAGGAUUAUGAAUCGAGAGGUGACAGUGAAGCAACACUCACCAGUAACAAGUAGUUAUCCCCCAGCAUUAGGAAUAGGGCAGAAGCAAGGCAGGA